AUUGAACGCUGGCGGCAUGCCUUACACAUGCAAGUCGAACGGCAGCACGGGAGCAAUCCUGGUGGCGAGUGGCGAACGGGUGAGUAAUAUAUCGGAACGUGCCCGGUCGUGGGGAUAACGUAGCGAAAGCUACGCUAAUACCGCAUACGAUCUACGGAUGAAAGCGGGGGAUCGCAAGACCUCGCGCGAUUGGAGCGGCCGAUAUCAGAUUAGGUAGUUGGUGAGGUAAAGGCUCACCAAGCCGACGAUCUGUAGCUGGUCUGAGAGGACGACCAGCCACACUGGGACUGAGACACGGCCCAGACUCCUACGGGAGGCAGCAGUGGGGAAUUUUGGACAAUGGGCGCAAGCCUGAUCCAGCCAUGCCGCGUGUGUGAAGAAGGUCUUCGGAUUGUAAAGCACUUUAAGUUGGGAGGAAGGGUAGUAACCUAAUACGUUGCUACUUUGACGUUACCGACAGAAUAAGC
rnacentral:rRNA from 1 species